rnacentral:rRNA from 52 species
AAUCCAUAGGUUAAUGAGGCGAACCGGGGGAACUGAAACAUCUAAGUACCCCGAGGAAAAGAAAUCAACCGAGAUUCCCCCAGUAGCGGCGAGCGAACGGGGAGGAGCCCAGAGCCUGAAUCAGCAUGUGUGUUAGUGGAAGCGUCUGGAAAGGCGCGCGAUACAGGGUGACAGCCCCGUACACAAAAGCGCAUGUGCUGUGAGCUCGAUGAGUAGGGCGGGACACGUGGUAUCCUGUCUGAAUAUGGGGGGACCAUCCUCCAAGGCUAAAUACUCCUGACUGACCGAUAGUGAACCAGUACCGUGAGGGAAAGGCGAAAAGAACCCCGGCGAGGGGAGUGAAAAAGAACCUGAAACCGUGU